rnacentral:lncRNA from 1 species
CGGCGGAGUGGCUUUGCUGCCCUCAUUCUCAGCACCGGCGCAGGCCGCCGGGGCGCUGAGCUCUUCCUUGCAACUUUACUUUGUCGUUCGAUGGAAGUUGUUGCUUCCGGGGCUGCAGGUUCUUGGGGUAUAGGCUCGUUUCCUGCGUUCUGGAGAGACUCAUUUUUAAGGCGAAAUAGUUCCUGGUUGCUAUCGGUCUGCCUAUCAUCCCAGUUUCAUUACUCGCCCCUUAAAAUCGCAUCUCCGGCUUCUGAUUAUGUCUUUGUCUUUUCAAGAUUAAUUUAAACACUUUUGGUCAAACCUAAGAUACUUUGAUGCUGGUGCUUUCUUGAUCUUUCCAGGAGGUGUCAACAGAAGAUUUUCACACAACUACAUCCUGGCUGUUGGGUGACAGCAAUUGUAAGAGACAUUUCUACUUCAGAGAGAUUAACGUGUUUUUUUAUGUGUUUGUUUGUUUGUUUUUAAUUGGAGAAGUUGUGAGUUUACAAAACAGUCACGCAGU